rnacentral:rRNA from 1 species
ACGAACGCUGGCGGCGUGCCUAAUACAUGCCAGUUGAGCGAUGAAGAUUGGUGCUUGCACCAAUUUGAAGAGCAGCGAACGGGUGAGUAACGCGUGGGGAAUCUGCCUUUGAGCGGGGGACAACAUUUGGAAACGAAUGCUAAUACCGCAUAACAACUUUAAACAUAAGUUUUAAGUUUGAAAGAUGCAAUUGCAUCACUCAAAGAUGAUCCCGCGUUGUAUUAGCUAGUUGGUGAGGUAAAGGCUCACCAAGGCGAUGAUACAUAGCCGACCUGAGAGGGUGAUCGGCCACAUUGGGACUGAGACACGGCCCAAACGCCUACGGGAGGCAGCAGUAGGGAAUCUUCGGCAAUGGACGAAAGUCUGACCGAGCAACGCCGCGUGAGUGAAGAAGGGUUUCGGAUCGUAAAACUCUGUUGGUAGAGAAGAACGUUGGUGAGAGUGGAAAGCUCAUCAAGUGACGGUAACUACCCAGAAAGGGACGGCUAACUACGUG